rnacentral:lncRNA from 1 species
GUCGGAGGAAGCGAGGUUUUCCGGGGUGCCGUAAGCCGUCUCGAAAAACUGGUCGAAAGCCUGUGGCAGAACGCCGUUCCUGCCCACCGUGCUAUAGAAAUUGGACGAGACGGCGGGGGUGGGGUGGUGGUAGACGUUGGCCGAGCUUUUGGCCAGCACGUCGCCAGGCACGCCGGCCGCGCUGGGCGCCUGCAGACAGUCUCUGUGCACGAGCUCCUCCGCGGAGUAGCAGUGGGCCAGAUUGCCGCGGGGGUGCCAUUUAGUGGCGGGCUCAAUGGCGUACUCUCUGAAGGUCACUUCGCGCACGGGUUGGACCUGGGGCAGGUUGGAGGAGUAGGAGUAUGUCAUUGGGCGCGAAGACGGGGUCUGGGGCAAAAAAGAAGGGAGGCUGGAGAAAUCUGGACCCGAGACGUAGUAAGUACAACUUGGCAAAUACAUGUUAGAGGAGCAGGGACCACGCUCAUCAAAAUCCAUCAUUGGGCUACCUUGGGCUCUCCGCAGUAGCCGAGCUUAACAUGAUUCUCCACUGCAGCUGCCUCUUUGAAGCGGAUCCGUGAAGUAGAAAUUUGGAGACCCACCUCAGGGGAAGCAACAGAUCGUCACUCGGUGUUCUCACCGAAAGCACGUAAUCGCCGGUGUAACUCAUGUUGGCUGGGGGGCCUCCCCGCGCGCAGAAAGGCUGGGGUGCGCCCCCGGGCAGCUCUCCUUUGCUCAGCUACAUGGUCCUGGUCCACGAGUGCUCUGAGGGCGGCAAGAGAGCGCAACUCCUGACGCCUCCCCCCACUCCCCGCCCCCCUCCCACAGGCUUGCUCUGGGAAGCCCCCCAGCCUCAGAUCCUGGCUGGACCCCAUUUGGGGCCAGGCUUCGCCGGCACGGAUGUGCCGGCCUCGUGGCUUGUCCGAUUUGCACGGUGACUUGAUUACACGCUCUCAUUCACGGUCACUUCCGAAGCGCUUUAGUGCCUUCCGUCCCCAAACCGCCAACAGGCAAAGCGGCUUCCCUCCGCGGGGUUCGGAGUGACUCCUCAGAGCCAGAGGCACUUCUGCUCACCGGUCCGCAAGCUGCCUGGUCUGCUGAAGCUGACGAAUCGGGAAACCAUGCAAUUGAGGCGAACCUUGGGCUGUUUUAGAGGCGCUGAGGAGCCUUCUCCUGGGAGGCCCAAGGUUGAUUUCAGCCCACCAGGAUCUGGGGAAGACCCAGCUAGGGAUAAGAGCACACCAAAAGGCCAAGUCCGAGUUCCAUUCCUAGAAGAGGCGGCUGCAGACAAGGCUAUGACAUUGGCCCUGGACAUUGGUUUCCCAGGAGCUGCUUUUUCUCAAGAACUCCACAGCACGGGGCUGUCUCCAGAAAACGCUCUUCAACGUUUAUUUCUUUUAAUCGUCGCCCGGAGCCCUAAGGCGGCUAAUGCAAGAGGCCAAAAAUGUUUGGAGGAAGAAAAACAAAGGCAGGAAGUGGCCGCGGCCUGACGGUGCGUGUGUGUCUGUAAAAGAGGGAGGGAGCCGGUUCAACCUCCCCUCGUUUUCCCGAACUUCAAGGUCUAGGCAGACCCCCUUAGGGCCUUGCCAAGGCUCCCCCCACACUCCCCCCCCCCCCGGCGGCGCAACGUUUGGAGGUGGCCAACGAUUUAAGCCUCGGUCGGGCUGAAAGGAGAUUUGAUCGGCAGAACAAACCAACCCUUUUCGGAGGUUUCUUUUGAUUUGGUCCUAAAGGGUAUAUACUAGUGCCCACAGCGGCUGGGGGUGGCUGCUGUUUUCCUCCCGCCGGGCUAAAAGUACCAAGAAGGGAGGGAGGGAGAGAGAUUCAGGCACCUUGCGCUGGCUGCACUCUCCUUCUGAGAUAGAAUAUCAG